rnacentral:rRNA from 1 species
ACACAUGCAAGUCGAGCGGUAGCACAGAGAGCUUGCUCUCGGGUGACGAGCGGCGGACGGGUGAGUAAUGUCUGGGAAACUGCCUGAUGGAGGGGGAUAACUACUGGAAACGGUAGCUAAUACCGCAUAAUGUCGCAAGACCAAAGUGGGGGACCUUCGGGCCUCUUGCCAUCAGAUGUGCCCAGAUGGGAUUAGCUAGUAGGUGGGGUAACGGCUCACCUAGGCGACGAUCCCUAGCUGGUCUGAGAGGAUGACCAGCCACACUGGAACUGAGACACGGUCCAGACUCCUACGGGAGGCAGCAGUGGGGAAUAUUGCACAAUGGGCGCAAGCCUGAUGCAGCCAUGCCGCGUGUGUGAAGAAGGCCUUCGGGUUGUAAAGUACUUUCAGCGGGGAGGAAGGCGUUGAGGUUAAUAACCUUGGCGAUUGACGUUACCCGCAGAAGAAGCACCGGCUAACUCCGUGCCAGCAGCCGCGGUAAUACGGAGGGUGCAAGCGUUAAUCGGAAUUACUGGGCGUAAAGCGCACGCAGGCGGUCUGUCAAGUCGGAUGUGAAAUCCCCGGGCUCAACCUGGGAACUGCAUUCGAAACUGGCAGGCUAGAGUCUUGUAGAGGGGGGUAGAAUUCCAGGUGUAGCGGUGAAAUGCGUAGAGAUCUGGAGGAAUACCGGUGGCGAAGGCGGCCCCCUGGACAAAGACUGACGCUCAGGUGCGAAAGCGUGGGGAGCAAACAGGAUUAGAUACCCUGGUAGUCCACGCCGUAAACGAUGUCGAUUUGGAGGUUGUGCCCUUGAGGCGUGGCUUCCGGAGCUAACGCGUUAAAUCGACCGCCUGGGGAGUACGGCCGCAAGGUUAAAACUCAAAUGAAUUGACGGGGGCCCGCACAAGCGGUGGAGCAUGUGGUUUAAUUCGAUGCAACGCGAAGAACCUUACCUGGUCUUGACAUCCACAGAACUUUCCAGAGAUGGAUUGGUGCCUUCGGGAACUGUGAGACAGGUGCUGCAUGGCUGUCGUCAGCUCGUGUUGUGAAAUGUUGGGUUAAGUCCCGCAACGAGCGCAACCCUUAUCCUUUGUUGCCAGCGGUUCGGCCGGGAACUCAAAGGAGACUGCCAGUGAUAAACUGGAGGAAGGUGGGGAUGACGUCAAGUCAUCAUGGCCCUUACGACCAGGGCUACACACGUGCUACAAUGGCGUAUACAAAGAGAAGCGACCUCGCGAGAGCAAGCGGACCUCAUAAAGUAUGUCGUAGUCCGGAUUGGAGUCUGCAACUCGACUCCAUGAAGUCGGAAUCGCUAGUAAUCGUAGAUCAGAAUGCUACGGUGAAUACGUUCCCGGGCCUUGUACACACCGCCCGUCACACCAUGGGGAGUGGGUUGCAAAAGAAGUAGGUAGCUUAACCUUCGGGAGGGCGC